GACGAACCGUCCUAACGUUGUUCGGAAUCACUGGGCUUAAAGGGCGCGUAGGCGGCUUGCCAAGUCACUUGUGAAAUCUCCGGGCUUAACUCGGAACGGCCAAGUGAAACUGUCAAGCUAGAGUGCAGAAGGGGCAAUCGGAAUUCUUGGUGUAGCGGUGAAAUGCGUAGAUAUCAGGAGGAACACCGAUGGCGAAGGCAGGUCUCUGGGCAUUAACUGACGCUGAGGAGCGAAAGCGUGGGGAGCAAACAGG
rnacentral:rRNA from 1 species